rnacentral:misc_RNA from 1 species
GACGGAGGGUGCAAACGUUGUUCGGAAUCAUUGGGCAUAAAGGGCACGCAGGCUGCCCUGUAAGUCAGUUGUGAAAUCCCACGGCUCAACCGUGGAAUGGCAUCUGAUACUGCAGGGCUAGAGAAUGGUUGGGGUGAGUGGAACUCCUGGUGGAGCGGUGAAAUGCGUAGAUAUCAGGAGGAACACCAGUGGCGAAAGCGGCUCACUGGACCAUUACUGACGCUGAGGUGCGAAAGCUAGGGUAGCGAACGGG